rnacentral:sRNA from 1 species
GCAAGUUCUUUGCAAACCCUAUUGUAAGAGACAUAAAGCUAUUCAUCCAUUGUUAUUCAGAGUUUCAUUCAGAUCUAUAUACAGUGAAGAGAUCCCUUCUUUCCGCUUCUCUAUUUACUGUGUUUAUGCUUUUUAUCUCAAAUAUGUUGUUUGCUUCAUCCAAUAUGUCUGAGUAAUCUGCUUGUUAGGAAUAGGAUUUCUCAUUAGGUAUUCAUAUGGUUUAGUAGAUU